rnacentral:rRNA from 1 species
AAUCAACGCUGGCGGCGUGCCUCAGACAUGCAAGUCGAACGAUUAAAGCUCUCUUCGGAGAGUGCAUAGAGUGGCGCACGGGUGAGUAACACGUAAGUAAUCUACCUUCGAGUGGGGAAUAACGUCCGGAACGGACGCUAAUACCGCAUAAUGCAGCGGCAUCGCAAGAUGACAGUUGUUAAAGAUUUAUCGCUUGAAGAGGAGCUUGCGGCAGAUUAGCUAGUUGGUAAGGUAAUGGCUUACCAAGGCUACGAUCUGUAACCGGUCUAAGAGGACGGUCGGUCACACUGACACUGAAUAACGGGGUCAGACUCCUACGGGAGGCAGCAGUCGGGAAUUUUGGGCGAAUGGGCGAAAGCCUGACCCAGCAACGCCGCGUGAAGGAUGAAGUAUUUCGGUAUGUAAACUUCGAAAGAAUAGGAAGAAUAAAUGAC